UGGGGAAUAUUGGACAAUGGGCGGAAGCCUGAUCCAGCCAUGCCGCGUGUGUGAAGAAGGCCUUUUGGUUGUAAAGCACUUUAAGCGAGGAGGAGGCUACUCUAGUUAAUACCUAGAGAUAGUGGACGUUACUCGCAGAAUAAGCACCGGCUAACUCUGUGCCAGCAGCCGCGGUAAUACAGAGGGUGCGAGCGUUAAUCGGAUUUACUGGGCGUAAAGCGUGCGUAGGCGGCUGAUUAAGUCGGAUGUGAAAUCCCUGAGCUUAACUUAGGAAUUGCAUUCGAUACUGGUCAGCUAGAGUAUGGGAGAGGAUGGUAGAAUUCCAGGUGUAGCGGUGAAAUGCGUAGAGAUCUGGAGGAAUACCGAUGGCGAAGGCAGCCAUCUGGCCUAAUACUGACGCUGAGGUACGAAAGCAUGGGAGCAAACAGG
rnacentral:rRNA from 1 species